GACCUAUUCUGGAUCUUCGCGUGUUCAACAGAUUCGUUGCUGCGAGGAAAUUCAGAAUGCUCACUAUCAGAGCGCUGCUCUGAUGUGUGAGAGAGGGCGACUGGUUCACAUCCCUGGAUCUCAAGGAUGCUUACUUCCACGUCCCUGUUCGGCAGGCGCAAGGGAAGUUUCUCCGUUUUGCCUUUUCCGUGUACCAGUGCCUGCCAUUCGGCCUCUCCCUGGCCCCGCGCACCUUCUCGAAGUGUGUGGAGACGGCGUUGGGACCGCUCAGGCGUCAGGGAAAGAGGGUUCUCUUCUACCUCGACGACCUACUUAUUCUGAGCAACUCAGAGGAAGCUGCGAGAAGGGACACCAUGACGGUGAUAAACCAUCUCUCUUUCCUGGGUUUUGCCAUCAACUGGGAGAAGAGCCGGCAGAUAGUCUACUUGGGGCUUUGCCUAGACUCAGCCGCCAUGACAGCGAUGCUCUCGCCUCCUCAGCGAGACGCCAUCCUGUUGGCAUUCUCCCGCUUUCGCGUUCUCAGAAACGUGACCGUGCUGUCCACCAUGCGCCUGUUAGGGCUGAUGGCAGCCGCCCAUCCCGUGGUUCCCCUGGGUCUGCUCUUUAUGCGCAGACUCCAGCGGUGGUUUGCUCGCCAAUGCUUGGACCCCGUGCGACACAAGCUCAGGGGGCUCCUCCUACCCCGUUAGGGGUCACCAGACCUGGAAUAUUGGGGAACCCCCCCCGCCUCUCUGAGGGGUGUUCCCCUGGGCAGAGUGACGUCCUACGUAGUGGUCUUCUCGUUGACAGCGAGAUCCUGACAAGAGAUCCUUCCUCUUCUGGAACGGGUCAGACAGGAGAGAUUGUCCCUGAUUAUAGUGGCUCCGGAGAACCGCUCAGUCUUUGGUUGCCAGAGCUGGCGGCGCUCUCACGGACGGCGCAGUGGCCGGUACCGUUCAGACCGGACGGUGCACCACGGGACGGCUGUUGGUCUGGCUCCUGAGAGGUUGAUUGCAGGGCAAAGGUUUGCCUGAAGCAGUUAUCAACACUAUCCAGGUUGCUCGUGCACCUUCUACUUCUUCCCUCUAUCCGUCGAAGUGGUGCGCUUUCUCUGAUUGGUGUGACAGGAACCACGCU
rnacentral:lncRNA from 1 species